GGGACCAUUCCACGGUCUCCGUGUCGUAGCUAACGCAUUAAGUUCCCGCCUGGGAGUACGGCCGCAAGGCUAAAACUCAAAGGAAUUGACGGGGCCCGCACAAGCGGCGGAGCAUGCGGAUUAAUUCGAUGCAACGCGAAGAACCUUACCAAGGCUUGACAUAUACGAGAACGCACUGGAGACAGUGAACUCUUUGGACACUCGUAUACAGGUGGUGCAUGGUUGUCGUCAGCUCGUGUCGUGAGAUGUUGGGUUAAGUCCCGCAACGAGCGCAACCCUCGUCCUAUGUUGCCAGCACGUAAUGGUGGGAACUCAUGGGAUACUGCCGGGGUCAACUCGGAGGAAGGUGGGGAUGAGGUCAAAUCAUCAUGCCCCUUAUGUCUUGGGCUUCACGCAUGCUACAAUGGCCCAGUACAAUGGGCUGCGAUACCGCAAGGUGGAGCGAAUCCCAAAAAGCUGGUCUCAGUUCGGAUUGAGGUCUGCAACUCGACCUCAUGAAGUCGGAGUCGCUAGUAAUCGUAGAUCAGCAACGCUACGGUGAAUACGUUCCCGGGCCUUGUACACACCGCCCGUCAAGUGCAUGUAAAGUCGGUAACACCCGAAGCCGGUGGCCUAACCUUUUGGAGG
rnacentral:rRNA from 1 species